GAUGAACGCUGGCGGCGUGCUUAACACAUGCAAGUCGAACGGAAAGGCCCUGCUCUUGUGGGUUGCUCGAGUGGCGAACAGGUGAGAAACACGCGAGUAACCUGCCCUUGACUUUGGGAUAACACCAGGAAACUGGGGCUAAUAUAGGAUAGGAGAUCUUGCAGCAUGGUGGGGGUUGGAAAGAGUCGGCGGUUGGGGAAGUACUCGCGGCGUAUCAGCUUGUUGGUAGGGUAGUGGCUUACCAAGGCUAUGAUGGGUAGCCGACCUGAGAGGGUGGUCGGCGACACUGGAGCGUGGACACGCACCAUACGACUAAGGGAGGCCGCAGUAGGCAAUCGUCCGCAAUAGGCGAAAGCAUUACGGAGCAAGGCCGCGUGAGUGACGACGGCCUUCGGAUCGUAAAACCCGCUUUUGAGUGAAGAACCAAUGUGUCAGGAACUAUGCCCGGCUUGACGGUACUUAAUCAGAAAGCCACGGCUAACUACGUG
rnacentral:rRNA from 1 species